UUGUAUUUUUCCUUCAGUUCUUCAGCUGCAAAUGCAGGCUUCUUUCACACAAAGGAGAGGGGAAUGUUAAAGACUGUUUUCAGAUAUGGUGAGAAGUAAAUAUAGGAGUUCAUUAAGCAGUCAGUGUAAUGCUGUGGUAGACAACUCAGGGAUGUGAGAAGUUCAAAUCAACUUGACUAAUCCGAAGGAGCUGGCAGUGAUACACAAAUCCAUGGAUAGUGAAGUCCUGCUGUAUACUAAAAAGAAGGAUCACUAUCACUAAGUCCAGGAGGAUACCAGCAUCCUAACAAACAAGUAGAGUCAAGGAAGCUAUAAAAGGCAAGAAAACUUCCUUCAGAAAAUGGAAGUCCUUUCUAAAUGAGGAGAACAGAAAGGUGAUGAUAUAGUACUAACCAAGUAUGUUCUACCCAAGUAAAUUCUAACCAAGCCAUCACGCUCCACCGGUUUUGUAACUAAACAUUGAUGUGCUGUUGUUCUACAUGUGCUUGUGCCACCUUUCAAUUUCUCUUUCCCUGAAAGCAUGUGGGAAGCCAAGAACAAUCAAAGAAAUCCGAGGAACACUCCUUGAGUAUGAGAUCAGACCCACUAUGAAGAUGUACCGGUUUCAGUUCGUCAGCUACUACUCUGUAUGCUUCUAUGUGGCUUUCUUCAAAGGGAAAUGUGGGUGUUGUCUCAAUGCUUACACAUACAUGUUUGGUGACUUGAGAAAUGAAGAGGUGUGGAAUUUCUUUGAGUGAAUUCGAAAAGCAGUGUUGCCUGCCCUCCUGAUAUUUGUCAGGGCAGUUCAGAAAGGCCGAAUCAUGUCCUGAAUAAAAAGCCAUAAUUUUCUGACUGGGAAUUGUCAUGAAUAUAUAAGAUAUAUACUGUAGAGGAAAUAUACAAGUAAGAACUCCAGUAACUCACUGAAGAGUCGUACAUCCCCUGCUCAUGACUGGCUGCAAUAAACCAUCUGCAAAAUAAAGUUGCGUCUCUUUGAGCUUCUCCGAAUAGCAAUUUGAACCUGCUUCAGUGUUGAUUUCCACAGAGAAUGUCUUAGAGUAAGUCAUUGAAUCCUUUGCUCUGGAAUAGUCAAAUAAACCUAUGAAGCUGCCUUAUGCUAUUGGCCCCUCAGUAUUGCCCACCCCAACUGGCAGGGGCUCUCCAGCAUUUCAGGUCAGGAUCUUAUAUCUUAUAACCUACUUGGUUUAUUGUUGCCAGACAUUUCGGGUUAAGCAUUUGUGAACUAGAUUGUCAGAUUUUAAAGUCUUUUUGAAGAGGAAUAAUUCCUUAUCUAUUAUGAUACAUAUGAACAUUUUAAAACAAUAAAUAUUGCUUGUAUAUGA